UAGGGAAUUUUCCGCAAUGGGCGAAAGCCUGACGGAGCAACGCCGCGUGAGUGAGGACGGCCUUCGGGUUGUAAAACUCUGUUCUUGAGGAAGAAUUCCUUCCAGGCGAACAGCCUGGAAGGUUGACGGUACUCAAGGAGAAAGCCCCGGCUAACUACGUG
rnacentral:rRNA from 1 species